rnacentral:lncRNA from 1 species
CAAAGUAUAAACUAGAUACAUGGACAAGCACCAAAGUUCAGUAAUGUCUUACAAUAACAACAUAUUACUCAGAUGUUGUGAUUUGAAGAGAAGAUAGAAAGUAUUCUCUUCAAAAGACACUGGAAAUAAUACAUACUUCACCAGGUGCCUUUGGUAUUAAUAACACAGACAAACCGGAAUGUUUAGGCAACUAUGACUUAAUUAGCACUAACCAAGUGCAGCCUAACCAAGUGCAGCCUCACAAACUCGUAGAUGUAGAGUUUCCGAUGGCUGCUAGUUGAAUGGUAGUCAUCAAGUAGAUUCAGCAAAGCCUAGUUGAAGAUUACCGUAGUCAAAGAUGGUAUGAUAUACACCCAUGAAAACAUCUCCAAGGAUCCUGCAGAAUUUUUUCUUGGCGUUAGAGACAAUGGUUUUCUGAAAUGCCAUUCCAGAAGGGAAAAAAAAAAGUCUGUGGACGUAACACUUGUGUGUGAGGACAUCAAUGCAGCAUGCCCUCUUUGACUUUUUAGUUACCUCAAAUUGUAAGAAUUAAAAACUCAGUAUCUAAUCCAUUCGUCGACUUAAAUUAAGUUGAUACUAGUCAAACUAAUUACGUAUAGGCGAUGCCUUGGGUUUUAUUGUGAAGAAAUGUAUAGUAACAUAGCAGAUAUUUAAUGUAUGGGUCCUAUGGGACUUCAUGGCAACACCCUCAAUUUGAGUUGCAGCAAAUUACACGGUAUCAUUUGACUUGAGUUGGGAGGUAAUGUGAGAAAAUACAUUAUACUUUGACUUGAUUCUUAAGCAGAUAAAGAAAAAGAGCAGCAUAAAAAUAUAAACAGCAAUAUUACAUACCACAGCGGGCCUUUUGGAGGUGGCACAUCCAGAGCUAUAAACCCACUAAGACAGACGGUAGCAACACCUUCUCCAGUUUUAAGUAUAUACUGAAACAAAACAAAAGACAAGGCAACUUGGAAAUAAACCACUAAAGCAAGUACUUUUUGUUUACCAAUUUUCAUCUUGACCUUAACAAUGGUAAUAUCAAUCAUUAGAUGCUUUCUCUUAUGGCGCCUCUUAACUUUAGCUUAGCGGUAUAAUACUAAAAUAAACUCUGCCUAGUCAAUGACUAAUGCAUGCAUACAUUGUGUCGAAAAUGAUAAGUAUGCUGGCUUUACGAGAGUAUCACAAUGUGAAAAGCAUUAUCAUCAAAACCUUUAGGAUAUUUGGAAUUCAGGGAAAAAAAAUCUUCAAACCUGUUCUGGGGUGAGACUGAAAGUUUUCUUUCCAAUUGUAAAUGUGAUGUUUGGCAUUUUGGAGAGGCUGUUGCAAUCAAUUACUGAUUCUCCCAUUGGACUUGGAAAACUUUCACAGAGCUGAUAAAACGUAAAUUAAAUAUUCAAUGCCGCACAAACUAAAUCAUAAAAGAAGUUUCAAGAGUUACUUAAAGAGAUAGUCUUAAAUUGAUCACCUGAUUCACAUAGUUAAGCACCGACUCCUUAGUUCCCUUUUGUUUCAGUUGAGUUGAGACCCAAGACACAAGCAGUUCGCAUGCAGUGCAUCCAAGGUCAUCGCUAGAAGAAGCCUCCCCUUGGUCGGCCUUUUCGACAACUGUUUUAAUGAUUGAACUGAAACGAAAACUUCUAUAAUUGUCAACCAUUGUCCAAUAAGAAAUUAUGAUUACAGGAGCAAAAAUAACAUCCGGUCAUGUUAACUGAAUCCACAUAUACAUCAACAAAUUAUAUUUGCUAUUGGGUUUAUAGGAACUUUAUAUACGUGCUAGUGGAAGUGCAACCAACCUAGGGUAACAUUCGCUCUAAGAAUUUGACUUUAAAUGUUAUACAUUAAUUACAAAAUAACCUACAGCAAUCCUCCCAGCCGACAUUUCAUCCAUGAAAUAACAGCCAUAAUGAUUAUAACAAUUGUUUAAAAGCAAAAUUGUGAUCAUAAAAGCUGUUGGGACAUAGUAAAGCCAGAUACUGUAUAUGAAAUAGUUCAGAUAUCCAAACCUCUGAUGUUUUCCAUAUGAGGAACACAAGCCAAUUUGUGAACAUACUACGUCAGGUCCCAACUGUAAGUAACAUGAUAAAUAAAUUAUGAUACUAAAGCUUAACUAAAUAAGGAUUAAAUAUACCAUAUACUUAAGAGAUGCAUGAAAAACAAACCCCUGAUACUAGAAGAUCCCAUAUCAUUUCUCCAUAUUCAGACACAACUUCUUUACAUUCCAUGCUGACUAUUCCUUCUGCUCCUAUGGCAUGGUUAAUUUGGGUCACCACAUUCUGAAGUUGAUAGACCAACAAAGAUUGUUAGGAUUUCUCAACAGACUUUGGUAAAAAAAAAAAAAAAGGCUUUUUUCAAAAAUACCCAAGUUAAAUAUUUUUUUCCCAAAAAUAUGAUGCAACCACAAUUGCAAGUUGCAACUGUUGCAACAUGAAAAGCAAAUAAUUUCAACCAGGGUUGCAACCUCAUAUGCAACUUUGACCUUAAUUUUUAAAAAAAGUUUGAAAACAUAGGUAUUUUUACAAAUUUGCCAAAAACAAAUAGCAGACAAAAUAAUUUCAAUGUGAAAACCACAUACGGGAGGGUAAGACCAGAUAUUCACUAUAAUGAAUAUAUAACAAAAAUGGAGACACUCCCUCACUUAAUUCGUGAUCAAAUCACCAUAUUUGAUGCAAAAAUCUCUCUUGAACAUGUCCUACAAAAAUCUCUAGUCUUCUCAUACACUCAUUGCCAACAAUCAACCGUUUCUAUAUGCACCAUAACUUUUCCUAUCAUAAUCAACUUAGAACCCUUAUGUAUAAUAAUUAAUAAUUACCAACUUCCUCAUCUUAAAUAGGAAUUUUAAUACAAAUUAAUAUAUUUUCACAAACCUUUUCUAUCAUAAAUAAGAAUACAACUCAUAUAGGAAUGUGGGGCAUAUCCUACAAGCACUGCGUGCAAUUUUUUCAAAAAGAUAACUGACUUCAUAUUUUGAGAAUCAGAAGAAAUUCGGAUCGGUUGAUAAAAGGCAGGGAAACUAACAGUUGGACCAGCAAGCAAGGAUGUCCCAGAAUCCACAAUAGCAGAACAACCUCCAUCACAAUAACCUGAGGGGAAAACAUUGGAGACUCAUAAUCUGUUUUCCAACUAAGUCUAAGGUAAUAAAACAAAUAAAGAAAUUAAUUGACUUUUGUGCUCUUAACAUUUAUCACAAAAAGAAAUUUACAGCUUAUUAAAAUGCCUGAAAAUUUAUUGACUAGAUUAGACCUGAACCACAAUAAUAUUCCUGUUAAGACUCCGAAGUCCUGUAUUAGUAUGUUUGGUUUAGAUCACUUAUUCAAACUUUCUAAAUUGGUCAUAAACAUAGCUGGAAAUGUUAACUUCCCAUGCUGCUUUUAACCAAAACAUCUUUUAGAAAAAAGACUAGUAGCAAGUAAGGAUAGAAAAGUGAAUGCUACACAUUAAAAUUUAUCAAAAGUUCACUUUAAAACAAAAAUUAAAAAAUUGACCUGUCGACAUAUUUCCAAUGAGAAAAUCGCCCAUAUCAAACUGUGAAAAGAAAAAAAGAUGAUCAGCUUUAAUAGAAGAAUAUAACAAAAAAAUCAGAUUAGAUUACCACUUCAUCUUUGAACAAUACAAACCUGCCAGUAACCCUUAUCAGUUAUUGGAACGUAAGUGUGCUCCCCCUUGAAAUGUUUUGGGUCAACACCACCAAAAACAAGCUCACCCCCCUCUUCUGCAUCUGCAUCUCGAUUAAGCCAAAAUGAGAAUACCUCUUCCUUCACCAGACCCUGGUCCACCAUAUUGUACCUGCAUUUUGUAGAAAUUUAGAUACAUUAAAGACAGAAGCACAAAACAGGGAAAAGUCUCUCUUCAAGGAUGUAAAGUUCUAAAAAACAACUGGGUCCAAAAUGAUACCAGGGUGGAACCACAUUUCCGACAGAAAUUUCCUGGAAUCCAAGUCCAAGAAUCCCAUCAAAUUUUGCCACUACAAAAGAAAGGCUUCCUUCUUUCGUAGUCUCAAUGAAAACCUACAUUAAUAGUCAAGACCAUCAGACUAUUAAUAAAAGGUCUCAAAUUUGAGUUGAGUGUGAAAAAAUGGCAGACGUACUUGAUCCUUGAUCAAAAGAUCCCCAACUUCGACAUUGUCUUGACUUAGGAAGCCAGAAACUGAUCCUGAUCCAUAAUUUAUUGUAACCUUUUUUCCUACGAUAAAUCAAUCAAACAAUUCAUGCAUUCAAACUAUUUAUAUAUUAUAAGCUUGAUAGAUUUUCUUAUAGUAAACAACUUCGAGACUGAAUGAAGCUUGAUGUCUUUUACCAUUUUCAGUAUAUGUACUAGAUUUCUUUGAUUUGUACUUGGGAUGUAACCAGCAAGCAAUCUGCACAUAAUUUUAUAUAUUAUGUGACUUUCCAAGUAUGAGGAAUGGAAGAUAGUGAGUGUAAGUUUCCCUAAUAACUCACCGAGAAGUAGCAUUUUGAUGAUGGAACCCAGAGAUUUGAACUCCCAGUAUCAAAUAUGACAGUGAAUUUCUGGAGAGGUGAGCCAAUACCAAUUUCUCCAUAAUAUUGGGCAUCCAAAUAGUUUGUUAGAGAUACAGUAUCGAUGUCCGAAUCACCCAAACCAGUCUUCACAUAUUUACUAUCUAGUUUACUACUUCUGGCAGCUUUAAUGCUGUCGCGAUCCAACUGCCGUUUUUUCAAACCAACUCUCAAUAAACCAUCAGAGGAAGCAUUAAUAAGAGUGCAUGUGAAAGCCCAUAAACAGAGAAUUGUCCAAAGAUACUUAUUCCCCAUGUUCUACGGAUUCUGUUAAUAAAUGACUAAAAGUUAAAUUGUGCGAAUAACAUGAAAAGAGAGCAGGCUAAUCUAGAUAAUAAAAAAUGCAUACCAAAUACAAAAUGCUAUAACUACAAAAUAGAGUGAUUUUGAAUAAGACAGACAGAAGCCAAAUCGGUUGAGAAUCAAUUACACUAUUUAUCAGGCAAAAAAUAUUGAAAACAAAGCUGCUGAAGGGAAAACAAAGUACUAAGUUAUGAUCAAGGAUCACUAGCAUCACAAACAGUGUAUCAAGAAGCCAAUUCUCGAUUAUGAAAACUCCUGAACAGAACUGGAUUUUAAUGCAUUGUUUUUAGUCUAUGGAUUUUAAUGGAUUGUAUGGGAUUUUGAUUUUGUGCGGAUUCUUGAUGAAAUGUCGUAGAGUUGAUAGGAUUUAGGUACAAUGCUUCAAAAUCCCAUUGAAUUUGAUGGGAUUUCAAAAAACUUAAAAUACACUGAAGAAUGCCACAAAAUCCAUCAUUUUAUGAAAUGAAAAAAAAUCCAUCAGCAUUUGAAUACCAUCAGAUUUUAAUGGAUUUUAAACAAUCCCAAUUGAAUACCAUCAGAUUUUAAAGCAUAAUUUAAAAUCCAAUUGAAUACCACCAGAUUUUGUGGCAUAAUUUAAAAUCCCAAUUGAAUACCUCAAGAAUUUAAUGGAUUUCAAACAAUCCCAAUCGAAUACCCUCGGAUUUCAUGAAUGCAAAAAAAUCCUUUAAAAUCCCAAUCCAAUACACCCCUCUAAGUUAUAUAGUAAUCUUUGAUUAGCAAGUAACACACAUUAAAUGAAAUUGUAUUUUGAAUAGGAGUAAGUAAUAUAUUAACAAUCUCUCAAAAAUUAAAUAUUAUGCCUAUUACCCUUACAAAAAAUAAUAUUAUGUUUGUUAAGAAGAUGAUAGGUUAUAGUUUAAAUAAGUGAAAAUAUUACCGGGAUGAUGAAAUUUGAAUUGAUGAUCAGUAGAUAAAUAUUAAUAUUAAUUAAAAAACUAAUAAUGCACGAGGACUAACUCUAUUCUACAAAAAUGAAGAAGUGAGGUAUAAGUUUCUCAGAUAACCAUAUUGACGUUUACCUUUAUCACAUAAUACAUUCCACGGUCUUUUUUUUUAAAUAGUAUAAUUGUAUAUAUGCAUAUUUUUGAAUUUGGUCUAAUACAUAAAUUAGAGAAAUCUAAGAAUUAAAAUCAAAUUUUAUAAUGUUAAAUAUUAGAACAAAUAUUUUCUGGGGGGGCCAAAUUUUUAUAUUUAUAUAAAUGAAUAGAUAAAAUACAAUUUUUUCAAAAUUAUAUAAUACAAAUUUUAUUAUUAGGGAAACCCUAGGGGGGCCAUGGCCCCUUCUGGCCCCUAUAGCUUCGUCCCCGAAUGAUACAUUCAUCUUAUCUUUAAUGUUUUCUAUAUUUGUCGAAUUUCUACAGACUUGUAAAAAAUCAGUAAGAAAAUUCUACAUUAUUUGUUAUCAUAUUGAACUGACAUAUAUUAAUUUAUAACAAUUUAAAAUAUUAAUAACAUAUUUAUUCUAAAAUAUAACCGACCAAUCUAGUGAACACCGUCAAAAAAUAAUAUCGGAGGAAUUCAACAAAUUUUAGGUAAUGUCCCACAACUCCAAUUUAACCGUCCCACGCCCUAUGAAAAUAUAAAUAAAGUUUUCUACCGAACCUGACUAGAGGGAUACAAACAAGAGUUCUUCAUUUUACGAAGUUUAUUGGCAUUAUAAAUUUCCUUAAGAUUAAAAAUUAAAUAAUUGUUACAAAGUUUAACAUAAGAUUAAAAAAAUUAAAUUAUUCCUCAGAAAACAAUUUAUAUGUUAGUAAAACUUAUUCUCCACAAAAUCCAGAAGUAGCAAACAAUAUAUACCACUACAGAUGUUCAUAGACUUAUUAAUUAUGCAACAGCAAAGUAUAAACUAGAUACAUGGACAAGCACCAAAGUUCAGUAAUGUCUUACAAUAACAACAUAUUACUCAGAUGUUGUGAUUUGAAGAGAAGAUAGAAAGUAUUCUCUUCAAAAGACACUGGAAAUAAUACAUACUUCACCAGGUGCCUUUGGUAUUAAUAACACAGACAAACCGGAAUGUUUAGGCAACUAUGACUUAAUUAGCACUAACCAAGUGCAGCCUAACCAAGUGCAGCCUCACAAACUCGUAGAUGUAGAGUUUCCGAUGGCUGCUAGUUGAAUGGUAGUCAUCAAGUAGAUUCAGCAAAGCC